rnacentral:misc_RNA from 1 species
AACCUUAUGGACCUGCGGGCGUAUACCUGCGGAAGGAUCAUUAACAAAAAGUAUCACGAUAGGAAGGAGAGAGAGGAAGAGAGAGAGAGAGAAAGAGGAUGGAAAAUUUUUUCCUUUCUUUUUUUCUCUCCUCUCUCCUCUCCUCUUUAUUAUCAUCAUCUCCUACACUUUUUUAAUUUUUAUUAUAUGAAAAAUAUAAUACAACUUUCAACAAUGGAUCU